GGUGCUUGCACCAAGUGAUUUUAGAGCGGUGAGCGGCGGAUGGGUGAGUAACACGUGGGUAACCUGCCUCUAAGCAGGGGAUAACAUUUGGAAACAGAUGCUAAUACCGUAUAAAUCCUAAAACCACAUGGUUUUAGGCUGAAAGGCGGCUUCGGCUGUCACUUAGAGAUGGACCCGCGGCGUAUUAGCUAGUUGGUGAGGUAAUGGCUCACCAAGGCAAUGAUACGUAGCCGAACUGAGAGGUUGAUCGGCCACAUUGGGACUGAGACACGGCCCAAACUCCUACGGGAGGCAGCAGUAGGGAAUCUUCCACAAUGGACGCAAGUCUGAUGGAGCAACGCCGCGUGAGUGAAGAAGGCUUUCGGGUCGUAAAACUCUGUUGUUGAAGAAGAACACGUUUGAGAGUAACUGUUCAGACGUUGACGGUAUUCAACCAGAAAGCCACGGCUAACUACGUGCCAGCAGCCGCGGUAAUACGUAGGUGGCAAGCGUUAUCCGGAUUUAUUGGGCGUAAAGCGAGCGCAGGCGGUUUUUUAAGUCUGAUGUGAAAGCCCUCGGCUUAACCGAGGAAGUGCAUCGGAAACUGGGAAACUUGAAUGCUGAAGAGGACAGUGGAACUCCAUGUGUAGCGGUGAAAUGCGUAGAUAUAUGGAAGAACACCAGUGGCGAAGGCGGCUGUCUGGUCAGUUAUUGACGCUGAGGCUCGAAAGCAUGGGUAGCGAACAGGAUUAGAUACCCUGGUAGUCCAUGCCGUAAACGAUGAAUACUAGGUGUUGGAGGGUUUCCGCCCUUCAGUGCCGCAGCUAACGCAUUAAGUAUUCCGCCUGGGGAGUACGACCGCAAGGUUGAAACUCAAAGGAAUUGACGGGGGCCCGCACAAGCGGUGGAGCAUGUGGUUUAAUUCUAAGCAACCCGAAGAACCUUACCAGGUCCUGACUUCUUCUGCUAUU
rnacentral:rRNA from 1 species